AACGAACGCUGGCGGCGUGCCUAAUACAUGCAAGUCGUACGAGAAAGUCCGGCUUCGGUUGGACGAGUAAAGUGGCGAACGGGUGAGUAACACGUGGGAAAUCUGCCUUCCUGUCUGGGAUAAGCCUUCGAAAGGGGGUCUAAUACCGGAUAACAUCCUUGGACGGCAUCGUCCGAAGAUCAAAGGCGGGGCAACCUGUCGCAGAAAGAUGAUCCCGCGGUCCAUUAGCCUGUUGGUGAGGUAACGGCUCACCAAAGCUCCGAUGGAUAGCCGACCUGAGAGGGUGACCGGCCACACUGGGACUGAGAUACGGCCCAGACUCCUACGGGUGGCAG
rnacentral:rRNA from 1 species